GCACAAAAAUGCAGAAAGCAAGGGCUGACAGGGACAGCUGGAGUAGGUGUAUCCAUGUCCCGCGGAUCCGCUUGUAAGCAGAGCAUGCGCGGCGAGUGGCUCACCCCGCUUGGCAGCUUCGCCACGCACGAGUAUUACCGCUCUGUUCAAGAGGAAGUUAUCGCGUGGUGGCGGCAGCACCAGCGCCAAGACCUCCCAUGGCGGCAAACGCUCCCUCGUGGCAGCGGUGACUUAAGCGGAGCGGUCGACGGGGAGAAGCACCGUACAAGUGCUACCACGGCACGUUAUGAUCCAUACCAGGUAUGGGUGUCUGAGGUAAUGUCGCAGCAAACACGCAUGGAGACUGUCAUACCGUACUACGCCGCGUGGAUGAAGAAGUUUCCGUCGAUUGAGGCGCUCGCAGCUUCAACUGAGGACGAGGUGAAAUCUGUGUGGGCAGGCAUGGGGUACUAUCGUCGAGCUAUGUACCUGCGCAAAGGGGCGAAGUACCUCCUCGAGCGGUCCAAGGAGAGGGAGGCAACCGCGACGGCUUGUAUGCCGUCUUCCCAAGAGGAACUCUUGAAAGUCCCUGGGAUAGGCCCAUACACAUCGGCUGCCAUCGCCUCCAUGUGCUUCGGCGAACCUGUGUGCUCUGUGGACGGUAAUGUGAUACGCGUCCUGAGUCGUCUCCGCGGCGAGCGAGAUUUCGAUCCCAAAGUUCCGGCGAAUGUCAAAGAGGCGGCGGCGUGGGGGCAGCAGCUCAUGGGCAACUCACCCACCACCUCCGCCGUGGUUUGCCAAGACCCGAGCGCUUUGAAUCAGGGACUGAUGGAGCUGGGUGCGUCGGUGUGUCGCCCGAGUGGAGCGCCGCUCUGCACCUCAUGUCCCUUACAGAGGUUUUGCUGCGCCAGCGCGCUGCUUCGGGGUGGCGACAUUGAGGCGAUCGAGGGUGUCAUCCCGGCUCGUGCAGCGAAAAUGGCGAAGCGCAGCGCACGCAAGCUUUGUGUUGUGCACGAGAUGUCGGCGAGCCGAAUCGGUGACGCCAGGCGUUUUGUAGUCGUUCGCCGUCCAGCUAACGGGCUGCUGGGUGGCAUGCUCGAGUUCCCUACCGUGAACGCAUUCGCAGCAGAUGACGAGGAGGCCAUCGUGCCUUUGCUGAAGCACCCACUGAGCGUGCUGACAUGGAAAGCGAGGGCGAGGCCAACAUCUGCCAGGUUGUGUGGAAACGUUCGACACAUAUUCAGUCACAUUGUCAUGGAUGUGGAGGUCGUUCACGUGCAAUGGCCUGCUGACGCCGAUGGAGCUGCCCUGCUCAAGAGGGUCGCAGAGGUGGUGGAUGGCCACAGCGCGGGCGACUGCUGCAACGAACUCCCUGCAGCUGCGCGGAUCUUCCUAAUGUCGGAAGCGGACCUGAGGGAGAACGCGCCGAGUCGCCUAAUGCUGAAAGUGCUCCAGAAGGUAUCUUCUGUGGAGGUCAAGCAAGUGCGCAUCAGCAGAACUGGGAAGCGAGCUAUCCAGGAGAGUUCUGAAGCCUUGUCCCCGCACAAGAGGGUGGCGAGGAGAGAGCGGGCGCGCUCUUAAACACGUCCUCGAAGACCAUCCGCUCGGUUCGACGCAUACACCAGCGUUUGAAAGAAGCAUCGACACAUGGCCUCUUUUUCUUACAGUACCCUUUUCCUUUCUCUCCGUAUUUGAUUCGGAUUAUCGCCCCCUGGGGAACAUCGGU
rnacentral:misc_RNA from 1 species